GUUUAUUUCCACCGGGCUCUGCUUUAUUCACCGCAGGAGGUGUUGCUUUUGCUGACAUAGGGAUCUGGCACGCAGCGCGCCGGGCCCCACGCAAUGCUGUGUGCAGCAGAUCUGUGGUAACUGAGAACAACAACAACAACAGCCAAUAUAACCAGAUCUAUGUGGUGCAGGAUCUUGGACCAAUGAGGAUUCACUAUGGGCGGAGCUACCCAGUGUGACAUCAUGGAAACAGAAGCCAAACGCCUGGAAGUGUUCGUGUCACAGGCCAUUUCACUAUGACAGGGAGUAUCUUACAGAGAAAAUGCAGUAUGUUUGAAAAUAUUUGAGACCUCAUCACAAUAUCAGAGAGAACAUGUGGAUACUCCGCCAAAAGCCUCCUGCAUUUUUGAUGACUCGACCUUCUGUCCUCUUCUGGAGAUGAAGUGUCUCAUAAGGAGAGGGGAGUAUUCGUUCUCGCUGUAUUUAUACAGGCCUUCCGAUGAGAGAAUGUAUUGAGGCAGGAGAGGUGAUUGGACUCUGGCGUAUAUUUCCCCUGCGUCUCCCUUCAGCAUGUCAUUCUUUAUCAGUAAUCACCUUAGAGGGCAGCGUGGCACUCGUUUGCGAGAUGCUGACCUCCUUUGCACUGAGAGGCAGUGGACAGUGGGCCCAUCCAUAAUGCUGCGAUGCAUUACUGGCGGUAACAUGAAGUGUAGUCGCCCCUUUCAGGCACUAGUGUUCAAGUGCGAGGCCUGGAGAAAAACACCUCUUGGGACCCAUCAAAACUCAGACUGGUUCUGUGUGUC
ensembl:lncRNA